rnacentral:lncRNA from 1 species
UGGGGACAGACUGGAAAACAACAAAAAUAUAAUUAUUUUAGUUCAAAGUUAUUGUGUCUUGAGUUGAAAGGCAGGACAGUUAGCAACACAGUUCAGAUUUCAGUACUGCCCCUGAAAUCUGAACUGUGUACAAAGUCUAAAACGUUUACCGUAGCAAAUUCCUCAUAAAACUCCAUUUGGAAGAGUCCCGAGAGCUAAUUUGUUAAGUAUACUUGCAGAAGGUAGAUGAGGAGACAGAUAAAAUCUUAUUACCUCUUUCAGAUGAGAGGCACUUGAGCCCUGCUCAGCUAUGAGAAUAAGAGAGGGGGAAUUAAUUCUAAUUGAAUACACUUGUUCUCUUAUAGCUGUUGUUCCCCACCAGAACCAAAUGAGCGCAAGAUCUGACAAAGAAAAAAAGAAGUUCAUCUUUUAUUCCCCCAAACCCUUUCAUUUAAAUCAAGAGGGUGGGAUGUGGUUAUUGCUGUGUUUUUAGGCAGAAUCAACGGUUUCUGGGUCUGAGAAGUUGCAUACACACUCUCAGUCCCUGUAUCCUGAGAUGGAGUCACCUGAGGAUCCACAGCAAGUCCUAACCAGGGAUGGGUCUGGGUGAUUAAGGAAGGUUGGCUUCAGAACUGGGCCAGAGGCACUGCUUUGCUUUUGCUGUUUUGAUCAGCUCUGUGCCUGCAUGAGACAAGGAAAAUCAAUGGGAACAGCCCAGUAAAGUCGCCAUUCCCCAUUUUACAGCUGGGGAAACUGAGUUACAGAGCUUUUCUGCACUGAGUCAUCAGGAGCAAAUGCUAGAUCAGAGUCUCUCUCUCUGCCACCCAGGCCAGAGUGCAGUUGACGCAGGGCAGGGGAGCCCCGAAGUGGAGCAUAGUGUGUCCGGAACUGGUGGGUUCUUGGUCUCCCUGACUUCAAGAAUGAAGCCACGGACC